GACGAACGCUGGCGGCGUGCUUAACACAUGCAAGUCGAACGGAAAGGCCCUGCUUUUGUGGGGUGCUCGAGUGGCGAACGGGUGAGUAACACGUGAGUAACCUGCCCUUGACUUUGGGAUAACUUCAGGAAACUGGGGCUAAUACCGGAUAGGAGCUCCUGCUGCAUGGUGGGGGUUGGAAAGUUUCGGCGGUUGGGGAUGGACUCGCGGCUUAUCCGCUUGUUGGUGGGGUAGUGGCUUACCAAGGCUUUGACGGGUAGCCGGCCUGAGAGGGUGACCGGCCACAUUGGGACUGAGAGACGGCCCAGACUGCUAAGGGAGGCAGCAGGGGGGAAUAUUGCACAAGGGGCGGAAGCCUGAUGCAGCAACGCCGCGUGCGGGAUGACGGCCUUCGGGUUGUAAACCGCUUUCGCCUGUGACGAGGCGUGAGUGACGGUAAUGGGUAAAGAAGCACCGGCUAACUACGUG
rnacentral:rRNA from 1 species